rnacentral:snRNA from 1 species
AUCCUAGUGCACGGGUUUUACACGUAUCAGUGAGGAAUUAUCCGAGAUCGUGUUUUUGCUAGUUGAAAACUACCAAAAUGACCACUCCGGUUGGUCCUUCGGGAUCGUCUGGGAAUUUUUGAACAAACAAGAU